GCACCAGUGGAGUAGUAGUUAACUCGUUUCCCUCCCAUCUAAAUCGUGAUUCCUAUCAUGAGGGCGAGGAAGGAAAGGACCCGGGUGCAAAUCCCGGCUGGUGCA
rnacentral:tRNA from 1 species